GCCGCGGUAUUUUGACCGUGCAAAGGUAGCGUAAUCACCUGUCUUUUAAAUAAAGACCUGUAUGAAUGGCAAGACGAGGGUUUUACUGUCUCCUCCCCCCAGUCAAUGAAAUUGAUCUACCCGUGCAGAAGCGGGUAUAAAAACAUAAGACGAGAAGACCCUAUGGAGCUUUAGGCAUAUAUCAAAUAUGUAAAAAACCAAAUUUUUCCAAAUAGGCCUAAAAAAUGAGAAAAACAAGUAUUAAUGAUUAAGUGCCUUCGGUUGGGGCGACCACGGGGAAAAAUAAAACCCCCACAUGGAAUGGGAAAAAUAACCCUAAGCCAAGAAAAACACUUCUAAGCAACAAAAUUUUUGACCAAUAAACGACCCAGGGACACCAUCCCUGAGCAAUGAACCAAGUUACCCUAGGGAUAACAGCGCAAUCCUUUCCCAGAGCCCAUAUCAACGAAAGGGUUUACGACCUCGAUGUUGGAUCAGGGCAUCCUAACGGUGCAGCCGCUGUUAAGGGUUCG
rnacentral:rRNA from 1 species